AGCAGAAUGGCAUAGCAGAAGUGUGCUGGUCCCAUAAUCCAGAGGUCAAUGGGUUGAAACUAUUCUCUGCUA
rfam:Heterocephalus glaber contig192028, whole genome shotgun sequence.